rnacentral:rRNA from 1 species
UGGGGAAUCUUCCGCAAUGGACGCAAGUCUGACGGAGCAACGCCGCGUGUAUGAAGAAGGUCUUCGGAUUGUAAAAUACUGUUAUUGGGGAAGAAAGUCGGUAUUGAAAAUAUUGAUACCGUAUGACGGUACCCAAGGAGGAAGCCCCGGCUAACUACGUGCCAGCAGCCGCGGUAAUACGUAGGGGGCGAGCGUUGUCCGGAAUUAUUGGGCGUAAAGGGCGCGCAGGCGGAUAUUUAAGUCCGAUGUGAAAGACCAGGGCUUAACCCUGGUAGUGCAACGGAAACUGGGUAUCUUGAGUACAGGAGAGGAAAGUGGAAUUCCACGUGUAGCGGUGAAAUGCGUAGAUAUGUGGAGGAACACCAGUGGCGAAGGCGACUUUCUGGACUGUAACUGACGCUGAGGCGCGAAAGCGUGGGGAGCAAACA